rnacentral:rRNA from 1 species
CCUACGGGAGGCAGCAGUGAGGAAUAUUGGUCAAUGGGCGCAAGCCUGAACCAGCCAAGUCGCGUGAGGGAUGACGGUCCUAUGGAUUGUAAACCUCUUUUGUCGGGGAGCAAGGCCCGCCACGUGUGGCGGGAAGGAGAGUACCCGAAGAAAAAGCAUCGGCUAACUCCGUGCCAGCAGCCGCGGUAAUACGGAGGAUGCGAGCGUUAUCCGGAGUUAAUGGGUUUAAAGGGUGCGUAGGCGGAAGGUUAAGUCAGCGGUAAAAUGUCGGUGCUCAACACCGGCCUGCCGUUGAAACUGGUCUUCUUGAGUGAGCGAGAAGUAUGCGGAAUGCGUGGUGUAGCGGUGAAAUGCAUAGAUAUCACGCAGAACUCCGAUUGCGAAGGCAGCAUACCGGCGCUCAACUGACGCUGAGGCACGAAAGCGUGGGGAUCGAACAGGAUUAGAUACCCCAGUAGUC